rnacentral:rRNA from 1 species
AUGGUUAAGCUACUAAGAGCACACGGAGGAUGCCUAGGCGCUAGGAGCCGAUGAAGGACGUGGCGAACAACGAAACUGCCUCGGGGAGCUGUAAGCAAGCUUUGAUCCGGGGGUGUCCGAAUGGGGAAACCCAGCUGGGGUAAUUUCCAGUUACUCAUAACUGAAUACAUAGGUUAUGCAGAGGCAUACCAGGGGAACUGAAACAUCUAAGUACCCUGAGGAAGAGAAAACAAUAGUGAUUCCGUCAGUAGCGGCGAGCGAACGCGGAGAAGCCCAAACCAGAGAGCUUGCUCUUUGGGGUUGUGGGACGUCUCACAUGGAGUUACAAAGGAACCGGUUAAGCGAAGAGGUCUGGAAAGGCCCGCCAAAGAAGGUAAAAGCCCUGUAGUUGAAAGUUGGUUCCCUCCGAGACGGAUCCCGAGUAGUGCGGGGCACGUGAAACCCCGUAUGAAUCCGGCAGGACCAUCUGCCAAGGCUAAAUACUUCCUAGCGACCGAUAGUGAAGCAGUACCGUGAGGGAAAGGUGAAAAGCACCCCGGAAGGGGAGUGAAAUAGAACCUGAAACCGUGUGCUUACAAAAAGUCAGAGCCCGUUUUAGGGGUGAUGGCGUGCCUUUUGUAGAAUGAACCGGCGAGUUACGUUCCCGUGCAAGGUUAAGGUGAAGAGCCGGAGCCGCAGCGAAAGCGAGUCUGAAUAGGGCGACUUAGUACGUGGACGUAGACCCGAAACCGGGUGAUCUACCCCUGUCCAGGGUGAAGGUGCGGUAACACGCACUGGAGGCCCGAACCCACGCAUGUUGAAAAAUGCGGGGAUGAGGUGGGGGUAGCGGAGAAAUUCCAAUCGAACUCGGAGAUAGCUGGUUCUCCCCGAAAUAGCUUUAGGGCUAGCCUCGGAAAACAGAGUCGUGGAGGUAGAGCACUGAUUGGGUGCGGGGCCCGCAAGGGUUACCAAGCUCAGUCAAACUCCGAAUGCCAUAGACUUACUUCCGGGAGUCAGACAGUGAGUGCUAAGAUCCAUUGUCAAAAGGGAAACAGCCCAGACCAUCAGCUAAGGUCCCCAAGUGUGUGUUAAGUGGGAAAGGAUGUGGAGUUGCACAGACAACCAGGAUGUUGGCUUAGAAGCAGCCAUCAUUGAAAGAGUGCGUAAUAGCUCACUGGUCGAGUGACUCUGCGCCGAAAAUGUAACGGGGCUAAACACACCACCGAAGCUAUGGCUUGAUGCUUUGCAUCAGGGGUAGGGGAGCGUUGUAUAAGGGUUGAAGGUGUACCGUAAGGAGCGCUGGACAUUAUACAAGUGAGAAUGCCGGUAUGAGUAACGAAAAGAUCAGUGAGAAUCUGAUCCGCCGAAAGCCUAAGGGUUCCUGAGGAAGGCUCGUCCGCUCAGGGUAAGUCGGGACCUAAGGCGAGGCCGAAAGGCGUAGUCGAAGGACAACAGGUCGAAAUUCCUGUACCACCGUAAGCCGUUAUGAGCAAUGGGGGGACGCAGUAGGGUAGUGACGCGGACUGAUGGAUGUCCGUCUAAGCAGUAAGGCUGAUGUGUAGGCAAAUCCGCACAUUGUAAGGCUGAGCUGUGAUGGGGAGCGAAAAUUAUAGUAGCGAAGGUCAUGAUCUCACACUGCCAAGAAAAGCCUCUAGCCAGGUGAUGGUGCCCGUACCGCAAACCGACACAGGUAGGCGAGAAGAGUAUUCUAAGGCGCGCGGAAGAACUCUCGUUAAGGAACUCGGCAAAAUGACCCCGUAACUUCGGGAGAAGGGGUGCCCCGGUAGUGUGAAUAGCACGAGGGGGCCGCAGUGAAAAGGCCCAAGCGACUGUUUAGCAAAAACACAGGUCUGUGCGAAGCCGUAAGGCGAAGUAUACGGGCUGACGCCUGCCCGGUGCUGGAAGGUUAAGGGGAGUGGUUAGGAGCAAUCCGAAGCUGUGAACCGAAGCCCCAGUAAACGGCGGCCGUAACUAUAACGGUCCUAAGGUAGCGAAAUUCCUUGUCAGGUAAAUUCUGACCCGCACGAAUGGCGUAACGACUUGGGCGCUGUCUCAACGAGAGAUCCGGUGAAAUUUUAAUACCUGUGAAGAUGCAGGUUACCCGCGACAAGACGGAAAGACCCCAUGGAGCUUUACUGCAGCUUGAUAUUGAAUUUGGGUACGAUCUGUACAGGAUAGGUGGGAGCCUUUGAAGUGUGAGCGCCA